AGCGAUGACGCCAUUUGGGGUGCCAAAUUCACGUGUUUCAGGGCAGUGAAAAUUCGCUAAAAUCGCACCAAAUCGCUCGCAAAGCUCACUUUUCUCGAUUUUCAUCUCCGUUCGGAACGUUGUCAGCAUUGGGUUUUUGAGUGGCCCACACACACGCGAAGAAAGAACGAAAAGUCAAAAAAGAGACGGAAGAACGGCGAAAGAAACGCGAAGUGGAUGCGGGUUCGGCUUUUUGUGCCGACAUCGUUUUGUUGCCGACAAGCAUCGGUGAAAUAUUUCAACCGAGAGUUUGAACUGUCAGUUGAGCGUUUUGUUUUGUUUUCGACCAAAGCAAUCCGUUAUUGAAAAGAAAAUUUUCGGUUCAAAAAGUUAAAAAGUUCUCACGUGGUUUGCUUGUUCAAAAGUAAAAUUUUCAAGUGAAUAUGUUUGCAAUACAUACCAAAGAUACUAGCAACGAACAAUUUGAUCAGAAAAGGAAGUUAUUGUUGUGAAUCUCAACGUGUCCAACAUUUUCAGAUUCACCGCUUGCAAAUCAAAGGGAGGGGGGUAUGAAAAAAAGAUGACAGCCACCGCCGUAUCGUGUCACGUCGUGAUGCAUCCCGUCUCGAGAAAUGAUGCGAGGUAGUGUAGCAUGCAGUAGUGACAAGCAAAUUGCAUUAUUUUUACAGGGUGUCACCGAUGUGGACCGUCUUGGCGUAGUGUUCUGGUAAGGAGAUUUUUUACAUUAAAAAAAAUAUGUUUUAUUGUUGUUGAGAUGUCAAACAUUUUUGAACGAUAUUAGGACCUCAAUUUUUUGUGGCACCUUCUACAACGUUGUACAGAUCCGUAAUGCUAUGCUAUGCUAUGCUAGAUUAGGAUCAGGUGAGGCUGUGUUUGAAUGCAGAAGUUUUGAGCGACAAAAUAUCCUUAUUUUUUCAAAAAAACACAAAAAAUCUAUAACGAAUUUCAACCAACUUUUUAAAACGAAUCAGAAUUCAAUAAGCAAAAGUUAAGAAAAUUGACCCAAGUCGCCACACCGGCGACUAUUGGCCGCAGUUGGAGCAGAAGCAAGAAAAAAAAAUCAUGUCACUCCGUAUUCAAAACCCCGGGGUCACUCGAGCAGAGAUCGUCUGUGAAUGUUAAUGCUGUAAGUUUCUCGCGGGGAGGAAAAAACGGGGGGAUUUGGUGCAAUUUUCCCAUGAUUUUUUUUUUGUUAUUUUCUCUCGCUGUUUUUUUUUGUCCGCUAGAGCAGGCAGAGUGCCUUCAUCGAACCGUGGGGUUUUCUGCUCCCAGGGGUGUGCUCUAAAAGCAAAGUUCUCUUCUUUUUUUUCGUGUCGUCUACAAGGUCUGAAAGGAUCGAUUUUUGGUGGGAUUAUCCUACUCGACGUUUCUGUGGGUUUUCCGAGGUAUGAUUUAUCACUCUCGAAGACUAGCUCGGGAUUGGGUGCGGAAAAUGGAGUGUGAGUAAUUUUACGAUAAUCCUUGUUUGCAGUUUAGUAAAAGCAAAAAUAUUAUCAAUUUUUCAAUCUGAUGUUGGAACUUUUGAAACUUUUUCAUUGAAUAGUUGCGUUGAGAAUAAAACAAAAAACUAAAAUUAUUGAUCAAGUUUCAAAGAGAACUUGAACGCAAAUAAAAAAAUAAAACAUUGUUAAGAUUGUUCUUGACAUGACA